UACGAAGGGGGCUAGCGUUGUUCGGAAUCACUGGGCGUAAAGCGCACGUAGGCGGGCGUGUCAGUCAGGGGUGAAAUCCCGGAGCUCAACUCCGGAACUGCCUCUGAUACAGCACGUCUUGAGUUCGAGAGAGGUGGGUGGAAUUCCUAGUGUAGAGGUGAAAUUCGUAGAUAUUAGGAAGAACACCGGUGGCGAAGGCGGCCCACUGGCUCGAUACUGACGCUGAGGUGCGAAGGCGUGGGGAGCAAACAGG
rnacentral:rRNA from 1 species